CCCGCUGAACUUAAGCAUAUCAAUAAGCGGAGGAAAAGAAACCAACAGGGAUUGCCCCAGUAGCGGCGAGCGAAGCGGCAAAAGCUCAGAUUUGAAAUCUGGCUGCCAUGCGGCGGCCCGAGUUGUAAUCUGCAGGGGAGUAUUCUGGUCGACGUGUCCCGCCUAAGUCCCCUGGAAUGGGGCGCCACAGAGGGUGAGAGCCCCGUGAGGCGGAGCGCGCCGGCCUAUGUGAAUCUCCUCCGACGAGUCGAGUAGUUUGGGAAUGCUGCUCUAAGCGGGAGGUAUAUUCCUUCUAAAGCUAAAUACCGGCUGGAGACCGAUAGCGCACAAGUAGAGUGAUCGAAAGGUGAAAAGCACUUUGGAAAGAGGGUGAAAUAGUACGUGAAAUUGUUGCAGGGGAAGCGCUCUUGACCAGUCGCGCGCCGCGGGGACCAGCCUCCGUUUACUCGGUGGUGUACUCCUCGUGGUUGCGGGCCAGCACCGGCUCUAGCGGUGGGACAGGCGCGCCGGGAACGUGGCCCCGCCUUCGGGUGGGGUGUUAUAGCCCGGUGUGCGUACCGCCCGCUGGGGCCGAGGAAUUCUGCGCCUAGGCUAGGAUGUUGGCAUAAUGGUCAUCAGCGUCCCGUCUUGAAACACGG
rnacentral:rRNA from 1 species